ensembl:snoRNA Gm23262 small nucleolar RNA SNORD97
UUGCCCGAUGAUUAUAAAAAGACGCGAAAGAGGACUUGAAGCUGGAUCUUUUCCUUUUUUCUCUUCUAUUCUUUCUCACUCUCAUCUCUACUAUUCUUUCUCACUUGUCUCUACUUUCCCUAUUCUCUGCUUCUUUUUCUCUUUGGAUAUCCAGCGUCCGAUGAGCGAAGAUUAUGAGAUAUGAGGGCAA